rnacentral:tRNA from 1 species
UUCUAAUAUGGCAGAUUAGUGUAAUGAAUUUAAGCUUCAUAAAUAAAGAAUUUAUCUUUUAUUAGA